UUGCUGCACAUCAAUUCCCAUUGCAAGAGUAAGAAACAAGCCCAUUAGUAUGAAAAGUAAUUCAAAUUUUAGUAGCAUAACAUGAUAACUUUCUGCUUGCGCCUAUAACUAACGUAGUUAUGCACCAUAACCGAAAGUACACAUGUAAAGUUGAAGGUGAUAGAGUUGGCUUUUCACAAUGUUAUAAUGGUUGUAGACAAGACAAGACGACUUCAAGAAGGAUGAAUUCAUUUCAAGCAAUACUGAGCAAUUUGUUUGUUCGUUGAAACACUACGUAUUUGUCAGUGCAUUGGAGCGACACAAACUCAAGGAGGAAAUCGCUAGUUAAAUGGCCAAACUA